rnacentral:snRNA from 1 species
AGAAGAGAGCUUUCACGGAG